AACGAACGCUGGCGGCGCGCCUAAUACAUGCAAGUCGAGCGAGAAGACGUAGCAAUACGUUUGUAAAGCGGCGAACGGGUGAGGAAUACAUGGGUAACCUACCCUCGAGUGGGGAAUAACUAGCCGAAAGGUUAGCUAAUACCGCGUACGCUCCUCGGACUUCGGUUCAGGGAGGAAAGCGAUACCGUGGGUAUCGCGCUCUUGGAUGGGCUCAUGUCCUAUCAGCUUGUUGGGAGGUAACGGCUCACCAAGGCUUCGACGGGUAGCUGGUCUGAGAGGACGAUCAGCCACACUGGCACUGCGACACGGGCCAGACUCCUACGGGAGGCAGCAGUAAGGAAUAUUGCGCAAUGGGCG
rnacentral:rRNA from 1 species